rnacentral:tRNA from 1 species
GCCUGGUUGGCUCAGUGGUUGAGCAUCUGCCUUCCACUUAGGAGGUGAUCCCAGGGUCCUGGGAUCGAGUCCCGCAUCAGGCU